CAAUCAUAUUCCCAUCGACCCAUGUGAUCAAGCAGUUGUUUUUCUUCUGUGUUUCUGCUCCCACAGUCCUUUCUCUGGAUGUGGAUAGUGUUCUCUCUCAUAGGUCUCUCAGAAUUGUCCUGGGUCAUUGCGUUGCUGCUAGUAGAGAACUCCAUUACAUUCGAUUGUACCACAGUGUAUCAGUGGUUGCAUUCUUUUGGAUAUUCUCAUCAUACUUCAAGGAACUCAUCAUCCUUCAAGAUGCAUUUAGUCUUUAAUCUUUGCAUUUCCUUAGUAUUUUCUGCUCCUGGGACUCCUCUGGAGGAAAUCAUUAUUCUGAGAUGGAGGUCCAUUGGCUUCAUCAGAUUUCCAAAAGGGCCCACGAUACAAAAAAGCUUUAGGAUUCUUCAAAAAGUAAGUGUAUUGGUAAAAAAUGUACACAUACAUGUAAACUAUAAAACUAUGCUAAGACUGGUGGGAUGCUAUUUGCAUAGGUUUAUUCUCAUAUAGAUGGAUUUUAUGUAUGUGCAUAUAUAUACAUACAUAUACAUACUGAUCUACAUGCAGAAAUAUGUUCUGAUGUGAUACUUUCUGGUGUGUUUUAGAAUGGCAUGUUUUGGUAUGGCAUGACAUGGAAUAUUAUAGUGUGAGGUCUUUUUAAUAAAUGGUAGAUAUUGUGGGUUACUGAGACCCA
rnacentral:lncRNA from 1 species